GAGCUAUGAGGAAGAUACUAAUGCAGUCUGAGAUAUCACUGAUGACUAAGAUCCAACUCUGAGCUCACUGUCUUG
ensembl:snoRNA